rnacentral:rRNA from 1 species
UGCUACCAUGCAGUCGAACGGCAGCACAGGAGAGCUUGCUCUCUGGGUGGCGAGUGGCGGACGGGUGAGGAAUGCAUCGGAAUCUACUCUUUCGUGGGGGAUAACGUAGGGAAACUUACGCUAAUACCGCAUACGACCUACGGGUGAAAGCCGGGGACCUUCGGGCCUGGCGCGAAUGAAUGAGCCGAUGCCCGAUUAGCUAGUUGGCGGGGUAAGAGCCCACCAAGGCGACGAUCGGUAGCUGGUCUGAGAGGAUGAUCAGCCACACUGGAACUGAGACACGGUCCAGACUCCUACGGGAGGCAGCAGUGGGGAAUUUUGGACAAUGGGCGCAAGCCUGAUCCAGCAAUGCCGCGUGAGUGAAGAAGGCCUUCGGGUUGUAAAGCUCUUUUGUCAGGGGAGAAACGGCUCCGGCUAAUAUCCGGGGCUAAUGACGGUACCUGAAGAAUAAGCACCGGCUAACUACGUGCCAGCAGCCGCGGUAAUACGUAGGGUGCAAGCGUUAAUCGGAAUUACUGGGCGUAAAGCGUGCGCAGGCGGUUUUGUAAGUCUGUCGUGAAAGCCCCGGGCUCAACCUGGGAAUUGCGAUGGAGACUGCAAGGCUUGAAUCUGGCAGAGGGGGGUAGAAUUCCACGUGUAGCAGUGAAAUGCGUAGAGAUGUGGAGGAACACCGAUGGCGAAGGCAGCCCCCUGGGUCAAGAUUGACGCUCAUGCACGAAAGCGUGGGGAGCAAACAGGAUUAAUACCCUGGUAGUCCACGCCCUAAACGAUGUCUACUAUUGUCGGGUUUUAAUUAACUUGGUAACGCACUAACGCGUGAAGUAGACCGCCUGGGGAGUACGGUCGCAAGAUUAAAACUCAAAGGAAUUGAC